UACGGAGGGUGCGAGCGUUGUCCGGAAUCACUGGGCGUAAAGGGCGCGUAGGCGGCCUGACAAGUCGAUGGUGAAAGCCCGUGGCUCAACUACGGGUCGGCCAUUGAUACUGUCAGGCUCGAGUCGACUAGAGGCAGAUGGAAUUCCGGGUGUAGCGGUGGAAUGCGUAGAGAUCCGGAAGAACACCGGUGGCGAAGGCGGUCUGCUGGGGUCGAACUGACGCUGAGGCGCGACAGCGUGGGGAGCAAACAGG
rnacentral:rRNA from 1 species